CCUACGGGAGGCAGCAGCCGCGGUAAUCUUGCGCAAUGGGCGAAAGCCUGACGCAGCAACACCGUGUGAGCGACGAAGGCCCUCGGGUCGUAAAGCUCUGUUGUUGGGGACGAAGGGCGAAGGGUUAAUAGCCCCUAGUCUGACGGUACCCUUCGAGGAAGCCCCGGCUAACUACGUGCCAGCAGCCGCGGAAU
rnacentral:rRNA from 1 species